AGGACGAACGCUGGCGGCGUGCUUAACACAUGCAAGUCGAGCGGUAAGGCCCUUUCGGGGGUACACGAGCGGCGAACGGGUGAGUAACACGUGAGCAAUCUGCCCUUCACUUCGGGAUAAGCCUCGGAAACGGGGUCUAAUACCGGAUAUGACUGCGCCAUGCAUGUGGUGUGGUGGAAAGUUCUGGCGGUGGAGGAUGAGCUCGCGGCCUAUCAGCUUGUUGGUGGGUAAUGGCCUACCAAGGCUUCGACGGGUAGCCGGCCCGAGAGGGUGACCGGCCACACUGGGACUGAGACACGGCCCAGACUCCGUACGGGAGGCAGCAGUGGGGAAUAUUGGACAAU
rnacentral:rRNA from 1 species